UGGCUGAGUGGUAAAGAGCCUGCCUGCAAUGCAGGAGCCCCAGGUUUGAUCCCUGG
rnacentral:tRNA from 1 species